UGUUUUAAAGGUCUAAGUGUGCCCUCCUCCAGACAUCCGGCUCUAAUGAGCUACACAGUGCCUGGCCGUGCCCGAGAUAAGUUCCGGAGGCAAGAGAAAGACGGGAGAUUUAAUCAAGAGACAUGUGAUGUUCAAUUGAGCCCCAAAUUGCUUUUUUGAACACAGCAGCAAAUAAAACGCAGAAAGGGAAGGGUUGGACUUCUCUGCAAGCAGGUCAUUUCCGGACAAGAAUCUGAUCAUGGGAGAUCCUUUGAAGGGCCGGAAGCUCUCUGACUCACUUUCCAAUCUGGCUGCAGCCAGUGCGAAUAUCCACAUUUAUCUGCUACUCCCGGGGUAUCAGAGAGAGCAUCUUGAAAGGGGAUCAUUUUCAAAGCACCCCUGCUACCCUUUAGAAACGCUCGACUUUCUCCAGACGAACGGCUCCCAGGGAAGCAUCUACGACUGCUGCCAAUUGCUCUGCCCCCUGCCUGGAGUGGAGACUUUAAUGUGGCCAGUACAUGCAUCAGAUGAUCUGUAUAAGGGAGGAUUCAAUACAGAGAGAUCUGACUGUACGUAGAUGAAGCUUCUGCAGAUGCCGGCCAUGUAGGGUCUGAACGUCACUCUGAGUGGGAAGGACCCAGAGGGUGAAGCUUGUGCUCUCUGCAGCCCGCCAUGGGCACACGGCUUUGGGAGUAUCUCACUGCUCCACGGACUCAUCUCUGAAGAAGCAACAUUGUCACAUAUGGGCAGUUGGUUGGAAAAGAUGUCCCAGCCUCCAGCCCCAGCUGACUGCAUCUGAACCUGCGGUCUAACAAGGUCCCUGGGGGAUUCUUCUCUGCACUUCAAACUUGGACGAGUGCUGCCUUAGACUCUGGCUCAAUUUAGCAAACUUCAGAAGCACCUGCAGAGCUCGUUAGGGAACGCUGGCGGAGCUCCAUUCUCAGAAUGCUCGGCUCACCUGGUGUGGAUGGCGUCCAAGAAUCCGUAUUUCUAACAAGUCCCCAGGUGACCCUGGUGCAGGUCCCAGGAGGACCCGCAGUCACAAGGGCUGCCUUAGACUGGGUCUCUGACUCAAGACAGGCAGCACAGCCACUGGAAGUUCUAGAAUGCCUGACCCCCCCGGGGACUUGCUUGCCCCUGCAUUUGGAGGCUGGAACCUACCCAUUUUCUCUAACUGAAUUUUGAUAGGUUCAUUAAAGUAUCACAUUUUUGUUUUUUUAUAAGAAGAAACAGGUGUUGGCUGGUAGC